rnacentral:rRNA from 1 species
GAUGAACGCUGGCGGCGUGCCUAAUACAUGCAAGUCGAGCGAACAGACGAGGAGCUUGCUCCUCUGACGUUAGCGGCGGACGGGUGAGUAACACGUGGAUAACCUACCUAUAAGACUGGGAUAACUUCGGGAAACCGGAGCUAAUACCGGAUAAUAUAUUGAACCGCAUGGUUCAAUAGUGAAAGACGGUUUUGCUGUCACUUAUAGAUGGAUCCGCGCCGCAUUAGCUAGUUGGUAAGGUAACGGCUUACCAAGGCAACGAUGCGUAGCCGACCUGAGAGGGUGAUCGGCCACACUGGAGCUGAGACACGGUCCAGACCCCUACGGGAGGCAGCAGUAGGGAAUCUUCCGCAAUGGGCGAAAGCUUGACGGAGCAACGCCGCGUGAGUGAUGAAGGUCUUCGGAUCGUAAAACUCUGUUAUUAGGGAAGAACAAAUGUGUAAGUAACUAUGCACGUCUUGACGGUACCGAAUCAGAAAGCCACGGCUAACUACGU